rnacentral:rRNA from 1 species
AACGAACGCUGGCGGCAUGCCUAACACAUGCAAGUCGAACGAGACCUUCGGGUCUAGUGGCGCACGGGUGCGUAACGCGUGGGAACCUGCCCUUAGGUUCGGAAUAACUCCCCGAAAGGGGUGCUAAUACCGGAUAAUGUCUUCGGACCAAAGAUUUAUUGCCGUGGGAUGGGCCCGCGUUGGAUUAGCUAGUUGGUAGGGUAAAAGCCUACCAAGGCGACGAUCCAUAGCUGGUCUGAGAGGAGGAUCAGCAACACUGGGACUGAGACACGGCCCAGACUCCUACGGGAGGCAGCAGUGGGGAAUAUUGGACAAUGGGCGAAAGCCUGAUCCAGCAAUGCCGCGUGAGUGAUGAAGGCCUUAGGGUUGUAAAGCUCUUUUACCCGGGAUGAUAAUGACAGUACCGGGAGAAUAAGCCCCGGCUAACUACGUG